rnacentral:rRNA from 1 species
AUGGGCACUCCCGCCCACACGCUCUCCAGCACAGAGUUCCACCCGCAGUGCGUCAGGAAUCCACCCACCGCGGCGUGGGAGAGCACCUCCACCUGGCAGCACCACGGCACCACCAGCCCACGCCCGGCGGACGCCGCCGCGAACCCCUCGGGCAGCGGGUCCGGGUCGUCGGAGCUCACGAUGCCCGGCCGCAUCACCCACAGGAACCUCGCGCCGCUGGCCAGGACUCCCCCGGCGAUCUCGCGCAGCUCCUGCUUGGUGACGUGCGCGUAG